rnacentral:rRNA from 1 species
UAUUACACGAACGCUGGCCGUCGUUUUAAGCAUGCAAGUCAAGGAGAAUGUUUUCUUCCGAAGGCAAGUAAACUGGCGAACGGGUGAGUAACACGCAGGUAACCUGCCCUGGAGAUUGGGAUAACUCCGCGAAAGCGGAGCUAAUAGCGAAUAAUGCAGCGGACCCUUAGGGGUAAUGUUGUUAAAGCGGGUUUCGGCUCGCACUUCAGGAUGGGCCUGCGUCCGAUUAGUUUGUUGGUAAGGUAAUGGCUUACCAAGGCGAAGAUCGGUAGCUGGUCUGAGAGGAUGAUCAGCCACACUGGAAUUGAGAUACGGUCCAGACUCCUAUGGGAGGCAGCAGUGGGGAAUUUUGCGCAAUGGGCGAAAGCCUGACGCAGCAACGCCGCGUGACCGAUGAAGCUCCUCGGAGUGUAAAGGUCUGUCGUGAGGGAAGAAAACCCCUGAAGUGAAUAAUUUUAGGGCUUGACGGUACCUCACAAGAAAGCACCGGCUAACUUCGUGCCAGCAGCCGCGGUAAUAMGAGGGGUGCUAGCGUUGUCCGGAAUCACUGGGCGUAAAGGGUGCGCAGGUGUCCUGGCAAGUUGUUUGUUAAAUAUAUCGGCUUAACCGAUAAGCUGCAGACAAAACUACCGGGAUAGAGUUUAGGAGAGGAAAGUAGAAUUUCUGGUGUAGCGGUGACAUGCGUAGAUAUCAGAAGAMCACCAAAUGCGAASGCWACUUUCUAGACUAAAACUGACACUGAGGCACGAAAGCGUGGGUAGCAACAGGAUUAGAUACCCUGGUAGUCCACGCUGUAAACGAUGAGUACUAGGUGUUGAGGGAAUCGACCCCUUCGGUACCGUAGCUAACGCGAUAAGUACUCCGCCUGGGGACUACGACCGCAAGGUUGAAACUCAAAGGAAUUGACGGGGACCCGCACAAGCGGUGGAACAUGUGGUUUAAUUCGAUGCAACGCGAAGAACCUUACCUGGGCUUGACAUGUACAGUGAAAGCUUUGUGAAAGCAGAGCCCUCUGCGAGCUUGCUCAAGGACACUGUCACAGGUGGUGCAUGGCUGUCGUCAGCUCGUGUCGUAAGAUGUUGGGUUAAGUCCCGCAACGAGCGCAACCCUUGUUCCUUAGUUGCCAGCACAUAAUGGUGGGGACUCUAAGGAGACUGCCUGGGAUACCAGGAGGAAGGUGGGGAUGAUGUCAAGUCAGUAUGUCCCUUAUGCCCAGGGCUACACACGUGUUACAAUGACCGGUACAAGGGUCGCCACCCGCGAGGGGGAGCUAAUCCAAAAACCGGUCUCAGUUCAGAUUGGAGUCUGCACUCGACUCAUGAAGGAGAAUCGCUAGUAAUCGUAGAUCAGCACGCUACGGUAAUACGUUCCCGGGUCUU